UUGCUUCAACAGCACAAAUAACAAAAUUGGAAUGAUGCAGAGAAGAUUACUAUGGCCACUGCACAAGGAUGUCGUGGAAAUUCAUGACGCAUUCUAUGAAAAA
ensembl:snRNA U6 U6 spliceosomal RNA